AAGUGAAUGAGCAAGAGGAAGAUGGCAAUCAGAAUGCCUGUACUGCAAUUAAGAGAACCUCACCUGCACCUGCAACAAAGCUUGAUAUUCAAGAGGCAGCAGCUAAUGCCGAGGAGCCUGAUUCUGAUGAAUCAGAUGAUUCAUUGUAAUUUUACACAUUUGUUGAAUUUUUCUGGCGGUCAAACCGCACAUGGUGCACUGAAAAUUGAAUUUGAUUUGGGAAAUACCUCCAAUUCCUCCAAGAUGAAAGCUUACGUCAUUGAAACUAAAUGGCAACACAGAUCAUAGUAUCACAGAAUAUGACAGACUUGUGGUGCAUUUAGUUGAAUAUGAUAGUGUGAUCAUAUAUUAGCCUAGCAAGACGGUAAUAAAUGAGAAUUACAUGGACUUAUAGUUAUAUGCUUACAUGAAAUUCUGUGAAGAGUUGAAUUCCAAAAUGCUUGGAUACAACAUUUACUUUAAACUUUCAUGCAAAUCAAAGGCAACACUGAUAUUCAGUGAAUUCAUAACUUCAUGGGGU
rnacentral:misc_RNA from 1 species